CUGAACUCAAACUGAACUGCUCUAUGGGAUGUGGGUAUUUACUAGAGCUGGAAAUAACAGACUGACAGAAGGCUUAAAGGAUGUACCUUAUCAUUCCUCUUUAUCUUGAUACCAGAAUCACAGGAACACCAUACUUGAUAUAUGAGACUUAAUAUAUAAUUUUUGUGUUGGACCACACAAAAACAAAAUGAAACAAAACAAACAAACAAGAACAACAAGAAAGACCUGAGAUUUUAAAGGUGGUAUUAGAGCUUGGAUUUUUUUUUUUUUGGACCUUCUUGCAGUAAAAAUGGUGCCCUUUAUUUUGUUUCCUUCUGCAACUGAAAGACAAUGUUUAUUCAGGUAACUCAAGCUCUGCAAGGCUGGAGCAGCAGCAGGCUAGAACAUGACGGGACCACUGGUAGUUCUGAUGAAGAUACAGCUCCACCCUCCAAUUUGUAACACACAAUUGAAGUUUUUGUUUGUUUGUUUAAAUACAUUUUUAGAAGCUUCACUGAAGAUUAAGUAUUUAGCAAAGGAUAAUCUGAGAAUAGUAACACUGUAAAAUAAAGCAAGAUCUCAAGAUCCAACUGUUAACAACCUGCUGUACAAACAGUAAUUUCUGCAUGCUGAGGAAGAAACAAAAAGCUACAGAGCUUGUGCCUGGUAUCAUCAAUCCAGAGACUGUGUCUAUGCUAAUCCACAUGGAGGAUGCCCGGAAGAUCACAUAAAAUACCGCUCCUGUCUGUGAAGAGAUGCCAUCAUUCUCAAUGUUCUCAGCACUGCCAAGUGUUUGAUCUGUAAACCUAUAUUUAUGGCAACAGUUCACACUCAUACUGAAAAUCUGCAAACCGUUUUGCCCAGCAGUUUUCAGUACAUUAAUUUGCAACACAGUUGGCAGAGUAUGUAGUAAACAGAGUGGUCAUCCAGUUUUCUUCAAAGUUUUCUUCACAGAGGAUGAGCAUGUUCUUUACUUUAUCUCUCAGAGCUUGUAUAAAUGAACACUUUAUAAUGUUUUGACAUCUUACUCUAUUCCCAGAAUCAAGAAUGAAAAGAGGGGGAAAAAAGAUACAACAACAAAACAAUCAAUGCCAAUUGUUUUCUGUUACCAUACGCAGCCUUUUGCAACAGAAGAGUAGAAGGUGGUUGUUUUUUGUUUGUUUGGUUGGUUGGUUUUUUUGUCCAUAAUAGUGGUAAUUCUCCACUUUCUAACCCAAGCUUAUUUCUUGAUCACAGCAAUAAUAGCUCCGCAUGUUAUGGCUAAACAAUAUAUUAAACAAGACCCAAAUGGAUACAAC